rfam:Colinus virginianus strain Texas jcf7180006211628, whole genome shotgun sequence.
GCUGCCGGGGAUGAUUGGAUACCGCCCCAGACUGAGCGCAGUGCUGAGUGGUUCCCUCUGAGGCAGC